rnacentral:lncRNA from 1 species
UGUUCAAGUUAGGCUUUAAAAUUGAACAUAUAAUUAUUUGAUGCCACAACCUCAACUGCUACUUAUACAUUUUCUUAAACGUUACCAUUAUAUAGUGCUGGGAAUGUAUAUUCUUAAGUUUGGACAAUCUAAAGAGCAACCAGAAUGAUACUACUUGUUGAUAUAUAUGCUAUUGUCUUUGAGCAUUGCUCUAGAUGCAUUUCUUUAUAUUCCCAUAUGGAUGUUUACAAAAUUUCUAAGGUGAGAUUUAGGAGUGUUGUUAUCCAUUGAUAUAGUCGGGUUUGGGUAAACAAAAAAAUUAAAAAGUGUCAUAUUGAAUAGUUUAUAGAUUUUUUGAGUCUUUAUAUACUAUCGUGAAAUAUGAAUAUUUAGACAAACUAGUAAGAACGAGGUAACUUCCUGAGGAUUAAGAUUUGAUUUGG